rnacentral:rRNA from 1 species
ACCAGUCAUCCAUCGCGAAAACACACCCGAUCUCGUAUGAUCUUGGAAGGCUAAACAGGUCAGGCCUGGUUUUAGACUUGGAUGGAAGAACAGAUCUUCAGGAAGAACUGUUC